rnacentral:rRNA from 1 species
CUGAAAUCAGGUAGGAUUACCC